AAGACUAUACUUUCAGGGAUCAUUUCUAUAGUUCCUUACUAGAGAAGUUUCUCUGACUGUAUAGAAUCCUGGAAACCAUGAGGAAGAGGCACAGUGUUCUCUCCUGAGUGUGAAGCUAUGGGUGUGGAUGUGCAACUGCCCAUUGUCAUCAAUGAUGAUGUUCUCUCUUCGUGGGAGAGUCAGAGGGAGAGAAUGUAGUCUGAGUGGC
ensembl:snoRNA U3 Small nucleolar RNA U3